UGAUCCACCCAUCAAAAAUAUCUAGGGAAACCCGGCGGAAACUAUUCGACCAAGUUUGCCAUAACCAGCUGGUAACCAUGUCAUGCCAGGAGAUUAUCUAACAACAGGAUUAGAAGCCAUCAUGGAUAACAGACUUUUUACCCAACCAUGAAGUGAUGAAUGGGAUACAUCUUUAUGUUUGAAAUGAAUUAAUGGUUAAAAUCCAAGUGGCUGCAAGUGCGAGGAUCAAUACUUCUGUCAGAACCAGAUGUAAAAAAAAUUUGACAAAGGUGACAACAAAUGGCAAAUAGUGGAAUUAUGGAACAGGAUUUAUCUACUAGCCAAGACAGUUCCUUAUAAUAACACACAAACUUUUCUGAAAGGGAAAUUCCAUCUAGAUCAGAAGAAAGUAGUUUGUGAUAGAAAAGUGUCGUCCAACCGAAAUUCACAUUAAAAGAGUCCUUGUAUUAUCUAAAAGUUACACAAGGGUAAAACUUAAUGCCCCUCCUCCGCUGUGGCAGGGGAAUAAACAAUCUGAAACAUGUAAUUCCACGUGGAAACUUCUAAUUCAACUUGGUUUCAGAAUUACCUGUGUUUGCUGUGUUCUUUCUAAUUUCAUAAAAAUACAUUGUAAAUAAAUAUGCAUAAAAGAUGAAA